AACGAACGCUGGCGGCAGGCUUAACACAUGCAAGUCGAGCGCCCCGCAAGGGGAGCGGCAGACGGGUGAGUAACGCGUGGGAAUCUACCCAUCUCUACGGAAUAACGCAUGGAAACGUGUGCUAAUACCGUAUACGUCCUUCGGGAGAAAGAUUUAUCGGAGAUGGAUGAGCCCGCGUUGGAUUAGCUAGUUGGUGGGGUAAAGGCCUACCAAGGCGACGAUCCAUAGCUGGUCUGAGAAGAUGAUCAGCCACACUGAGACUGAGACACGGCCCAGACUCCGACGGGAGGCAGCAGUGGGGAAUAUUGGACAAUGGGCGCAAGCCUGAUCCAGCCAUGCCGCGUGAGUGAUGAAGGCCCUAGGGUUGUAAAGCUCUUUCACCGGUGAAGAUAAUGACGGUAACCGGAGAAGAAGCCCCGGCUAACUUCGUGCCAGCCGCCGCAGUAAUAC
rnacentral:rRNA from 1 species